AGUGAACGCUGGCGGCGUGCUUAACACAUGCAAGUCGAACGAGAACGGAUUAUAGCUUGCUAUAAUUGUCAGCUAAGUGGCGCACGGGUGAGUAAUGUAUAGGUAAUAUGCCUCUUACUAAGGGAUAACAAAUGGAAACGUUUGCUAAUACCUUAUACUCCUUAUUAACAGAAGUUAAUAAGGGAAAGAUUUAUUGGUAAGAGAUUAGCCUGUAUUGUAUCAGUUAGUUGGUGGGGUAAUGGCUUACCAAGACUAUUACACAUAACUGGUUUGAGAGGAUGAUCAGUCACACGGGAUCUGAGACACGGUCCCGGCUCCUACGUGAGGCAGCAGUGGGGAAUAUUGCACAAUGGACUAAAGUCUGAUGCAGCAACGCCGCGUGGAGGAUGACACAUUUCGGUGCGUAAACGCCUUUUAUAUGAGAAGAUAAUGACGGUAUUAUAUGAAUAAGCACCGGCUAACUCCGUGCCAGCCGCCGCGGUAA
rnacentral:rRNA from 1 species